rnacentral:rRNA from 1 species
AGAGUUUGAUCCUGGCUCAGGAUGAACGCUGGCGGCGUGCCUAACACAUGCAAGUCGAACGGACUCAUCAUGAAACCUAGUGAUUGGUGAGUUAGUGGCGGACGGGUGAGUAACGCGUGGGUAACCUGCCGUAUACAGGGGGAUAACAGUUAGAAAUGACUGCUAAUACCGCAUAAGCGCACAGUGCCGCAUGGCACAGUGUGAAAAGCCGAGACGGUAUACGAUGGACCCGCGUCUGAUUAGCCGGUUGGCGGGGUAACGGCCCACCAAAGCAACGAUCAGUAGCCGGCCUGAGAGGGUGGACGGCCACAUUGGGACUGAGACACGGCCCAAACUCCUACGGGAGGCAGCAGUGGGGGAUAUUGCACAAUGGGGGGAACCCUGAUGCAGCGACGCCGCGUGAGUGAAGAAGUAUUUCGGUAUGUAAAGCUCUAUCAGCAGGGAAGAAGAAAGACGGUACCUGAGUAAGAAGCACCGGCUAAAUACGUGCCAGCAGCCGCGGUAAUACGUAUGGUGCAAGCGUUAUCCGGAUUUACUGGGUGUAAAGGGAGCGUAGACGGCAUGGCAAGUCUGAAGUGAAAGCCCGGGGCUCAACCGCGGGACUGCUUUGGAAACUGCCGGGCUGGAGUGCAGGAGAGGUAAGUGGAAUUCCUGGUGUAGCGGUGAAAUGCGUAGAUAUCAGGAGGAACACCGGCGGCGAAGGCGGCUUACUGGACUGUAACUGACGUUGAGGCUCGAAGGCGUGGGGAGCAAACAGGAUUAGAUACCCUGGUAGUCCACGCGGUAAACGAUGAUCACUA